CAGGGAAUGGUCUAAUGGUUAGGAUUCAGCACUUUCAUUGCUGUGACCUGGGUUCAAUCCCUGGUCUGA
rnacentral:tRNA from 1 species